CAACAUCGACUUGUCCUGGAUUUAUAAAAUGCACGUGUGUAUCAAUGGCGCCAGCGGUAAUAAUUUUACCUUCCCCGGAAAUAAUUUCCGUGGAUGCUCCGAUAAUAAUGUCAACUUUGUCUUGCACGAGCGGGUUACCGGCUUUUCCAAUACCCGAAAUUUUACCGUCUCGGAUUGCUAAAUCGGCUUUAUAAAUUCCCGUAUAAUCAAGGAUGACGACAUUUGUGAUGACUGUAUCGGGUACUCGUUCGUCUUCUUCUCGUGUAAUGAACGGGUGCUGUCCCAUUCCAUCACGAAUG
rnacentral:sRNA from 1 species